rnacentral:rRNA from 1 species
UACGUAGGGGGCAAGCGUUGUCCGGAAUCAUUGGGCGUAAAGCGCGCGUAGGCGGCCCGGUAAGUCCGCUGUAAAAGUCCAGGGCUCAACCCUGGAAAGCCGAUGGAUACUGCCGGGCUGGAGUCCGGAAGAGGCGAGUGGAAUUCCUGGUGUAGCGGUGGAAUGCGCAGAUAUCAGGAGGAACACCAAUAGCGAAGGCAGCUCGCUGGGACGGUACUGACGCUGAGGCGCGAAAGCGUGGGGAGCGAACAGG